rnacentral:tRNA from 1 species
AGGCCCGUGAGGUAGAAUACGCCAAAGUGCAAAUUUGGAGUCGCACCCCAAUAGGUGCCGGGGCUUC